AGUUUACCCUUUCACACUGGAGAGCUUACCUAGAUGGGUAUCGGGAAAUUAGUUUACCUUCUCACAUUGGAGAGCAUACCCAGAUAGGUGUUGGGGGAUUAGUUUACCCUUUCACACUGGAAAGCAUGAAAGAGCAUACCCAGAUAGGUGUUGGGGGAUUUGUUUACCCUUUCACACUGGAGAGCAUACCCUGGUGGGUGUUGAGGAAUUAUUUUUUCCUCUAUCACUAGAAAGCUUACCUAGAUGGGUGUCGGGAAAUUAGUUUACCCAAAUAGGUGUCGAGGAAUUAGUUUACCCUCUUGCACUGGAGUGCAUGAAAGUCACUGUUGUAAGCGUAGUUUAGAAAAGCUAGAUUGUUGGACAACUGAAAUAAUCCUCAACCUAUGAAGUCAUCAUCCACGAUCUGCUUGAGAUUUUGAACUGCUUAUAGAACCCACGUGAGAGUGUGAGUGGGGAGUGUCCUGAACUGCUCCUAAACUUGAUCCAACUGUUACACCGUCCUUGAAUGUUUCACCGUGUGCUCCCCAGAGGCUUGAUUGGUGACUAGCUAUGAAUCUGAAUGGAUUGUAAGUUUCUUCACCUCUAAGUCUUUCACUAGCCAAAAGCUACUAGUAAAGCUUUGUAUUCUACUCUGUCGUUGGAUGCUUUGAAGUUUGGAAUGUCGCUGGCCUGAUC
rnacentral:lncRNA from 1 species